rnacentral:hammerhead_ribozyme from 1 species
AUCCAGCUAACAAGUCCCAAAUGGGACGAAACAAGCGUCCUGGAU